rnacentral:lncRNA from 1 species
UCGGCAAAAUUAUUUGUUCUUUCACAAUAAUGCCACAUAAACUCACAAUUUCCAAUCAGUAAAAAACCAGUAACGAGGAUCUACGAACAAAGAGGACGGGCAGUAGAAUUAGCACACACCUGAGUAGAGAGUGAGAUCCGGUGGCAGCUGCCAGGCGUGAACUAAGCUGGAAGCGACACCUUCACGCGGCGGCUCAUCAACCAGCUCGUAGACCUCGCACCCGACGACCUUGCGAGCACGGACGUCGACGCCGAUCAGGUUCUCGUCCAGGAAGAAGUAGACCACGUCGGGGUUGGUGGGACGGGUGAGGACGGGGUCGUCGGCGAAGGGGUCGCAGGUGACGAGGCACCAGGAGAGGUCGACCCACCAGAGCCUCCCGUAGCAGGAAACGACGCCAUGGGGGCUGUGCAGGCGGGCCGGAAGCGGGUAGGCGACUCUCUCCCUGACCCACUCCCCGACCUUGGACGGGAAGCGUAGGAGGACGGCCUUGUCGCUGCCGAAGACGGGCUGGAGCUCGGCGACCAAGUAGCCGUCGCCGUCGGGGUAGGCGAUGAGGCCGAGGUCGCCCUUGUACGAGACGAGCUCGGGCGUGGGGAGCGGCAGCGCGGAGCCGGCGGCGGCGUCGAGCACGUAGUAGCCCGCGACGAACGGGAGCCAGCCGAACUGCUGGCAGCCGGGCUUGUCGAUGACGGUGGGGCCCGUGGCGCGGCCCUGGUCGGCGUGGAGGAGGAGGAGGCCCGCGGAGGGGUCGGCGGCGAGGACGSAGGGGAAGYUS